rfam:Gossypium raimondii chromosome 9, whole genome shotgun sequence.
CACGUCAGCGCACUUUCCUGACGUGGCAACAAAUCGCGUCCACGAGGGGGCGAUUUGUUGCCACGUGGGGUGGGGCGCGCUGACGUGG